GGUCAUGAGUACCAGCGCGUAGCCCCGGCUCGCUGGUCGGCAACCCUUCGUCCGCGAUGGGGUGCCCCGGGUGAAGACCGGGCCGCGCGGUAGGCGCGCGGCAAGCGCGGAUU
rnacentral:ncRNA from 2 species